rnacentral:tRNA from 1 species
UGCGGGGUAAAGCAGUCCGGUAGCUUGUCAGACUCAUGAUCUGAACGUCGUUGGUUCAAAUCCAACCCCCGCGA